GUGCUUGCUUUGGCAGCACAUACAGUCACAUUGGAAUGAUAUGAAGACUAGAAUGGCCCCUGUGAAAGGAUGACGUGCAGUUUUGUGAAGUCUUCCAUAUUAAA